CAACUGACUUCACCGUCUUAUCAAAAAAAAAAAAAAAAAAACUGACUCCACCGCCAUGGCUUCUUCGACACUGCCAAUGGCGUCUAUGUCGUCGCCUGGUCCGAAUCUCCGUCAAGCUCUAAAACCUUGCCCUCCCACCGACCUGCAACCUCCUCCGCUCCCUCCACGAGCACACGCGCGAGGUUAGCUCCGCUGACUACAACCCCACGCGCCGCGACUCGUUUCUCACGAGUCGCGUGGGACGACACCGUGAAGCUUUGGACCGUUGACCAUCCCGCCUCCGUCAGCACGUUCAAGGAGCACGCCUACUGCGUCUAAUUUGUCGUCUUUGGUGUGAAAAGCUCGGAAGCUCGUUCCAGUCGUCAAUGGAGGCCUCCAAGACCUCCAGCGGUACAACCUUGAGGAAUGCUUUCGGUCCUAAAUCACUGAUAUUCCAAGUUUGAUCCUUAUUUCAAUUACAGAGUCACUCAGGUUGCUUCAACAAGAACUUUGACUGGUGACCUUUCUAAUCCAUUGUUGGUUAAACCUCUUCAACCAGUUGUUGCGCCAGUGGCUCCAGUAGCUCAGAAAUCUGAUGCACCUGAUCGUCUUAAUAAUUUAGUUGGCGCUGGGUAUCAAUCAUUUGAGAAUGCUAUUUUGAAGAAACUUGCACAGUCUGCCCAGAAGCAAAAAAUAAUAUUCAGAACUUAAGAUGCAUGAAGGGAUGGGUGAUCUCAAAAGCAAGGUUCAUGAUCUCAAUGGUUUCAGUGUAUAGGGAACUGCUGUGGAGUUUCUCUCUCAACUAUCUCAAGAUAGCGCAGAGGAAGAACUCUUGGUGUUAACAGUGUUGAAUAGUAUUAAAUACUAGGCAUCAGGUACAGUAAGGGUGGUUGUUCUAUACAUUUUAUAUUUCAUAUUUACAGAUGAAAUUCUAUCAGCCAUAACCAUUUGUACCGAGGGAGGUGACAUUUAGAGCCCCUUGCACAUUAUCAUUUUAGGCUUGUAAUUUGUAUCAAAUAACAAAUUACUGGUGUUUUCUUAUUUUAUCCAAAAAAAAAAAAUGGUCUUGAUGCUCA